rnacentral:sRNA from 1 species
AGUGAACUUCGUUUGAAGCGGCAUCCUUUUUUGUGUGGCUUUUUUUGACCGCGCAAAAAAGAUAUAGCAGAUAGCCCGCCCGCUU